AACGAACGCUGGCGGCAGGCUUAACACAUGCAAGUCGAACGCCCCGCACGGGGAGUGGCAGACGGGUAAGUAACGCGUGGGAAUCUACCCAGAUCUUCGGAACAACUGAGGGAAACUUCAGCUAAUACCGGAUACGCCCUACGGGGGAAAGAUUUAUCGGUUCUGGAUGAGCCCGCGUUGGAUUAGCUAGUUGGUGAGGUAAGGGCUCACCAAGGCGACGAUCCAUAGCUGGUCUGAGAGGAUGAUCAGCCACGCUGGGACUGAGACACGGCCCAGACUCGUACGGGAGGCGGCAGUGGGGAAUAUUGGACAAUGGGCGAAAGCGUGAUCCAGCCAUGCCGCGUGAGUGAUGUAGGCCUUAGGGAUGUAAAGCUCUUUCAGUAGGGAAGAUAAUGACGGUACCUACAGAAGAAGCCCCGGCUAACUUCGUGCCAGCAGCCGCGGUAAGAC
rnacentral:rRNA from 1 species